rnacentral:rRNA from 1 species
AAGUCGUAACAAGGUUUCCGUAGGUGAACGUGCGGAAGGAUCAUUAACAGAACACACAUCGAGUGAAGUGGGAAGGCUGGGGGUCACCCCGAAGCCGCAUCCAGCCCCCGGGUCCGGGGGCAGCGCCGCCGGGGUCCUCGGACGCCCGAUGCCUUGGUUGACCCCGAAAAAGGACGGUAGCGGCCCCGAGUCGCCUCUCAGAGCGUCGCGUCCCCUGACCUCGGGCUGCGGCCACCUGGCCGCGUCCACUGGCAGGUCGGAGUACAAAGUGUGUCGGUGUGAAGGGGCCUCAGCGUCGACUGCCCACACCGCCGGGAGGCGGAUUCCCACAACCCAAACCCUCCGCGUACACAUCCCUGUUGCUUCCCCCGGGUCUCCUCCCGGGGGGAGGUCCCUGAGCAAACCGUGCUGUCCAACCAGCCCGCGGCCACUCUCGUCUGAAUGCCAUCGCGCCACGGCGGAUGGAAAGAGCGAGGAGGAAGAAUGGAAUGAUGAAAACUUUCAACAACGGAUCUCUUGGUUCCCGCAUCGAUGAAGAACGCAGCGAAAUGCGAUAAGUAAUGUGAAUUGCAGAAUUCAGUGAAUCAUCGAAUCUUUGAACGCACAUUGCGCCCUCCGGCAUUCCGGGGGGCAUGCCUGUUCGAGCGUCUCUUGGACGAACCCUCGCGCGGGCGAACGCGCGGUCAUGGCGACGGUGGCGUUCCCGGGUCGGAGGCCACCGCGCUGGAAUCCAUGGGCGGACGCCUGCCGCGUUGCCGAGCGUGAUAGGACGCAUCGGCGCUCGCGAGCGGCGAGGCUGCCAGCCCUGGCCCGUACGUCGGGCGGGGAGGAUAUA